rnacentral:rRNA from 1 species
AAUGGGUCAGCGACUUAUAUUCUGUAGCAAGGUUAACCGUAUAGGGGAGCCGAAGGGAAACCGAGUCUUAACUGGGCGUUAAGUUGCAGGGUAUAGACCCGAAACCCGGUGAUCUAGCCAUGGGCAGGUUGAAGGUUGGGUAACACUAACUGGAGGACCGAACCGACUAAUGUUGAAAAAUUAGCGGAUGACUUGUGGCUGGGGGUGAAAGGCCAAUCAAACCGGGAGAUAGCUGGUUCUCCCCGAAAGCUAUUUAGGUAGCGCCUCGUGAACUCAUCUUCGGGGGUAGAGCACUGUUUCGGCUAGGGGGCCAUCCCGGCUUACCAACCCGAUGCAAACUACGAAUACCGAAGAAUGUUAUCACGGGAGACACACGGCGGGUGCUAACGUCCGUCGUGAAGAGGGAAACAACCCAGACCGCCAGCUAAGGUCCCAAAGUCAUGGUUAAGUGGGAAACGAUGUGGGAAGGCACAGACAGCCAGGAUGUUGGCUUAGAAGCAGCCAUCAUUUAAAGAAAGCGUAAUAGCUCACUGGUCGAGUCGGCCUGCGCGGAAGAUGUAACGGGGCUAAACCAUG